rnacentral:rRNA from 1 species
UACGUAGGUGGCAAGCGUUGUCCGGAUUUACUGGGCGUAAAGAGCGCGCAGGCGGCUGGUCAAGUCCGAUGUGAAAUCUCCCGGCUUAAUUGGGAAACUGCAUCGGAAACUGAUCGGCUUGAAGGUGGGAGAGGGUAGUGGAAUUCCCGGUGUAGUGGUGAAAUGCGUAGAUAUCGGGAGGAACACCAGUGGCGAAGGCGGGUCUCUGGACAGUUCCUGACGCUGAGGCACGAAGGUCAGGGGAGCAAACGGG